rnacentral:rRNA from 1 species
ACGCUCGACACCUACGGGAGACAGCAGUGGGGAAUAUUGCACAAUGGGGGAAACCCUGAUGCAGCGACGCCGCGUGAAGGAAGAAGUAUCUCGGUAUGUAAACUUCUAUCAGCAGGGAAGAAAGUGACGGUACCUGACUAAGAAGCCCCGGCUAACUACGUGCCAUCAGCCGCGGUAAUCUGAGCGGGCUGGCAAGGC